GUCAGUCCUCCCUCUGCUAACCUGCAGUGCAGGGGAGAGUGCAGGGUGGGGAGAGGGUGGGAGGCCAGCCAGGGAAGUACUCACAGCAAGUAGUCGGGUGUCUCUGAGGUUGAUGUGGGGACACUUGAGCUGUUGCAAGUCCCAUUCAAACCUACAAAAAAAGAGCAAAUGCACACCAUCUUCUAAGCCCAUACCGAAUUCUAUAACAGGUCUGUUAUCUGCAGGACCUGGAGAGAUAGCAGAAGGGGGUCGGGAUGGGCAGAGGGAAUCUGAUGGCCGGGCUGGUGCCGCCUCGGGAGCUUCACUGGACCCAGAAGCAACACAGCCAAACACAAGAUGCAGCCCACCUGGGAAUCCCUGUGCCGCAGGACUCACCAGCGGAUGGAGCACACCUCUCCCACCUCUUGAGGCUGCAGCCCAAUGAACCCACACGUGACAGUUUAGUCCAUGCUUCUACCACAUGUGCUUUGCAUGAGGUACACCUUCCAGAGUGUUCUGCUUUGUGGGCCCCGUCAGUAUCACCUCAUUUAGCCCUUUUGAGAACUUCGCCAGGGACAAGAUACCAGGCCAAUUGGCACUGGGCAGGAUCUGAAGCUGUCUGAGCGCCAAGUAUGCUCCUCCUUCCCUGGGCACUGCCAGAGGAACACAGGGCCUUGCUUUCACCAUUUGGGACAGGACGUGCUGCCUGGCUGGGCCUGCUCAGGGUUUGUCUCUCCCGGCAGGAUCAGCUCAAGGGAACCAGGCCUUGCCUCCACCUGGCUGCUGCCAACACCUGCCCUCCAGUCAGAGGGAGGGGCUGGCAAAGGCCUUUCUGGAGAGUAGUUGAAUAACUCAUUAAAAAAGCCUUAAGGAGAAAGUAACUCCACC